AUCCAGUUGACAAGUCCCAAAUAGGACGAAGCCUGCGUCCUGCAU
rfam:Schistosoma margrebowiei strain Zambia genome assembly, scaffold: SMRZ_contig0001341